CCUACGGGAGGCAGCAGUGGGGAAUAUUGCACAAUGGGCGAAAGCCUGAUGCAGCAACGCCGCGUGAAGGAAGAAGGGUUUCGGCUCGUAAACUUCUAUCAACAGGGACGAAAGAAAUGACGGUAAAUGAAUAAGAAGACUCGGCUAACUACGGGACAGCAGCCGCGGUAAUACGCAGGGGGCAAGCGUUAUCCGGAAUUACGGGGUGUAAAGGGUGCGUAGGCGGCAUGGUAAGCCAGAUGUGAAAGCCUUGGGCUUACCCCGAGGAUUGCAUUUGGAACUAUCAAGCUAGAGUACAGGAGCGGAAAGCGGCAUUCCUAGUGUUGCGGUGAAAUGCGUAGUUAUUAGGAAGAACCCCAGUGGCGACGGCGGCUUUCUGGACUGAACCUGACGCUGAGGCACGAAAGCGUGGGGAGCGAACAGGAUUAGAUACCCUAGUAGUC
rnacentral:rRNA from 1 species